UAUCACUCUUUCCUCACCAUAUGCAUAAGUAUGAAUGUGCAUGGCAUCACCCUUCGUGCUUUAUCACUCUUUCCUCACCCAAAUAGUGGAAAAUAACAACAUCCUGGCAAGGGAAUCAACAAUAGAAAUAAAUACAUCUCGGCAAGGGAAUCAACAAUAGACAUAAAUACAUCCCGACAAGGGAAUCAGCUAUAACCAAUCUCGUUCUAAUAAUUAACUUCACAAAAUAAACCUCAACUUGAGCCAAUACUCAACAAUAGGCAAAUAUCGAGAAAAUGAUCGUAAGUCUUACUCAACAUGGAUAAUCAUCAAUCUAGGCAUGGAUAGUAUUUAAUAAGAAUCACAACGAUCACAAUAUAAGACUCGCGGGCAUGCUCAACACCAACGUAUAGAUGCUUGUCACUACACCUAUACGUCGUACAUAAUACUAACACAUAGCAAAUAACACAGAACACCUAUUUCCUCAAGCUAAAGUUAGACCAAACACUUACCUCGAUUUCACGACCACAAAUCAAGCCUCAAUUAUCGCUUUCCCGUUAGAUUUCACCUCUAAUAUACUUGUAUCUAGUCAUAAUUAGCUUAAUAACAUCAAUAAAUGCUAAAGAACUCACAUCAAAUGCUUAAUUAUGGUUUUUCCAACAUUUUCCCCAAAAAGUCAAUAAUCGACCUCGGGCCCGCUUGGUCAAAACCCAAAGUUCGGAUCAAAUCCCGAUUACCCAUUCACCCCCAAGCACGGAUAUGCAAUUGAUUUUGGAAUCCGGCCUCAAUUAAGGUCUAAAUCCCCAAAUUUCACCCCAAAACACCCAAUUUCCCAUGAAAAUCCCUAAAUUUUGUGAUGAAAUCUUGUAAAAAGAUGAAAUAUAUUGAAAGAAAUGAGUUAAAAGUUGUUUACCUAUGAUUUGGGGAAGAACUUUUCUUUGAAAAAUCGCCUAUGGGAGCUUAGAGUUUGAAAAUUUGAAAGAAUGAGUUGAAAUCCUGUCUAAGUUAUAAUUUACACAGUCGCAGUUAUCACAUUUGUGAUGCCAAGUUCACAAAUGCGAACUCGCAAUUGUGGCCAAGGCUUCACAAAAUGCGAAGGUUGGCCUGUCAUGCUGCCUUCGCAAAUGUGAACAUUGUUCACAAUUGCAGCUACUGUGCAUGUCGCAUUUGCGACGAUGAACUUUGCAUUUGCUAAGGUCCCCUCCCAGCCCAGUCUUUGCAAUUGCGAUGAACCUUCGCAAUUGCGGUGCUCGCAUUUGCGAGCCAGACUUCGUAAAUGCGAAGUUUACAGACCUGCAAUCACACCAGCAAUUUCCUUAAGUCUCAAAACACUCUGCGGCCUAUCUAAAAUUCACCCAAGCCCUCGGGGCUCCAAAUCAAACAUGUAGACAAGUCCAAAAAUAUCAUACAAACUUGUUCAUGUAAUCAAAUCAUCAAAAUAACAUUAACAACUACGAAUUUAGCAUCAAAAUCAAUGAAAUUCUCAAGAACACCUAAAGUUACUAUUUUUCACAACCGAGGGUCCUAUUUAUAUCAAAUCAAGUCCUAUUCUUACCAAAUUUUACAGAUUCGACUUAAACAUCAUUUUAAACCUGUACCGAGCUCCGAAGCCAAAAUACAUGCUGGUACCAUCAUAUUCCAUCAUUACUCAAUUUCCAAACUCCUUAUAUUUUUCAGUUAAACAAUUUUCUUCAAAAAUUCAUUUCUCGGGUUAGGGACCUCGGAAUUCAAUUCCGGGCAUACGCCCAAGUCCCAUAUUUUUCUACGGACCCUUCGGGAGCAUCAAAUCAUAGUUGUGGGUCCGUUUACCCAAAAUAUUGACCUAAGUCAAUUUAAAUUCAAAUUUAAAGGCAAAAUUGGUAUUUUCUCAAAUUUUCACAUAAGGGCUUUCCAGAAGCGCGCCCGAACUACGCACGCAAAUUGAGGAGAAAGAAAAUGAGGUCUUGAAGGCCUCGGAAUCUCGGAUUGAGUUCUAAAAUACGAGAUGACCUUUUGGGGUCAUCACAGUAAUGCCAUAAGUUCGACUUCAAUAGCGGAAGAGGAAAGCAGAGGCAAAGUUUAACCACAAACCCAACAACUAUCAGUACUAUGAAAAAUACCAGUUGCAGCUGCUUGAUUGUUAAGACAUGGAAUGCUCCAUCAGUAUUAAGCUUAAAAGGAGGAAUAGUGGGGGAAAGGGGUACCUUUUGAUAUAUUGAGUGUGGGAAGGAGGGGAGGGGGGCACAUGGGAGAGGUAGAUGAAUUCAAUGAGAUGAAAGCAGAUAUUGUGCACAGAAGGAAGUAUAUGGAGAUGAUUAAAAACAUUAUUAUUGCAAGCUAACCAAAUGUGCCAAAAGGUAAAAAGUAUAAGGGAUGAAGCAGGAACUACAAUAUCAUGAUAGAUGAACGAGUUCUUAGAGUGUGUGCACAAUAACUAGAGUCACUCUAUGAGGGGGCUGAUAGAAGGUUGUACGCUAAAAGUUGACCAAAUAUGAAAAAUCAUUCGACAUUGGAAAAAGAUAUGAGGUAUAUUUUCAGGUGUGUUUGGACAUUUGUGACAAUUCAAGUUAGGGAUUGUCAGACCUCCUUUUUUUCCUACACCCUCCGAAAGGGGUAUGUAUAAGGGAGUUUUUCCAAUUAAAGGACAGUCGAAACGAGAUUAUUUAUUAGAAUUCAGAGUCGCCACUUGGGAUAAUUUAUGGUAUCCCAAGUCACCUGUUCAAAUCCUGAAUUGAAGAAAAUAUUGACUCUGUAUUAUAGUCCGCGAACCAGAAAUCCGAGUAAGGAAUUCUGUUAACCCGGGAGAAGGUGUUAGGCAUUCCCGAGUUCCGUGGUUCUAGCACGGUCGCUCAACUGUUAUAUUCGGCUUAAUUAUCUGAUUUUAGUACAUUUUAAAACUAUGCGCAUUUUAAAACUUUAAUCGCUUUUAGUCAUUUUAGGAAUAUUGCAAUGUUAUUAAAACACGUCUUGAACCACGUCACAUAAAUGCACCCGCGGUAUUCGACAUAUUUUAACUAACAUUGUGAUUUUGAAUUUGGGUCACAUAAAUGCACACCGGAGUUUAGGAAGGUAAAUUAUUAACAUAACGCGCCUAAAGCAACUACGUGUUUGGACUGUUAUGCUCGAACGAAUUUAGGAUGGGUCGGGAAGCUAGGAUUCAUGGAGAAGUGACUGUGAAGGAGAUGUUAUGAAUUUCAUUAAUUUUUAACCCAUGUAGUAAUUGAAGAGAAAUUUUUUAUAUAUAUAAGAAUUGGGCUAGGCUCACUAAAUCGAGCUCAACAGAAACGACUCGACUGGCCCAUUUAAUUCUAAAAAUGCAUCUUAUCAAACCUACUCAAUUUUCCCCAAGCCAAUUUAUUAAAACAUCAAACAAAAAUAGAAUUAUUCUCGAAACUUCCAUAGUAAUUAAACUAACAUGAGUAUUAACUCCAAUUAAAGUAGGCACAUAACGAUAUUGACCAAUGAAAAUGAUUAAGCAUUUUAAAUCACAAGAAACAAUAAACAUGACGGAAGCCCGCAAAUAAAGAAUUAAACUGAACUUAAUAACAUGCUAAAAAAACUUUAUUCGUGCUCAAAUAUACACAACUAACAUAUCCAAACAGUGCAUUCGCGAAAGAGUAAAAGAGUGCAAAAGAUGAACCUUCUAUUGCUGGAGUUUCCCAAUGUUUACAACAAAGAGGAGCUCCAAAAUUGCAAAUCCAAACGAUCUACAGGCGACAACUUCGCCGAACCCAGCAACCGGAGUCCACCUCACCGGAAACUUUGACGACCUGCUACAUCUUAUAGUAAAAAAGAGCUGGCCGGAGAUGGUGAAACUCCGGCGAAACGCCGGUAAAAAGCAGUGACCUAGCGGAGAUGAAGUUGCGAUCGUUUUUAUGUGGUUUCAGAGGGCUUUUAAUGGUGAGAAGACGCUGUGUUUUGUGAGUGAAAAUGAACGAAAAUAGGGAUGGUUUGGAGUGGUGUGAAGAAGGAACGACGUGAGGGUCGGUGUCGUUAUUGUGUUACGAUGGAAUUGGGUGGAGCUCGGCGACUGACUUCUAGGGUUGAGGUAAGUCACUGGGAGGUCGCAAGGAGGUUCAGCGACGAUGGUGAGCUGAAGGGUGGUCAUCGAUAGAGCUGCUGGACGCUGGCUGUUACGGAAGAAGAAGAGAACGACAGUGGGGUGGGUCGGGGAAGACGAUGAUCAGGGGCGAGGUCAUUUCUGUAUGGUUGUUCCUCAGCGUUUUGUUUUUCGGCCUUCUGUGUUCUCUUGUUGCUGGUUCGACGAAGUACAGGAGGGGUCAUUUUUAGAGGUAGGGUCGUUUGGAGAAGAUGACGCGCAUGGGGGGUCU
rnacentral:lncRNA from 1 species